rnacentral:rRNA from 1 species
CCUACGGGAGGCAGCAGUGGGGAAUUUUGGACAAUGGGCGAAAGCCUGAUCCAGCCAUGCCGCGUGAGUGAAGAAGGCCUUCGGGUUGUAAAGCUCUUUCAGCCGGAAAGAAAUCGCGCAGGCUAAUACUCUGCGUGGAUGACGGUACCGGAAGAAGAAGCACCGGCUAACUACGUGCCAGCAGCCGCGGUAAUACGUAGGGUGCGAGCGUUAAUCGGAAUUACUGGGCGUAAAGCGUGCGCAGGCGGUUAUAUAAGACAGAUGUGAAAUCCCCGGGCUCAACCUGGGAACUGCGUUUGUGACUGUAUGACUAGAGUACGGCAGAGGGAGGUGGAAUUCCGCGUGUAGCAGUGAAAUGCGUAGAUAUGCGGAGGAACACCGAUGGCGAAGGCAGCCUCCUGGGCCAGUACUGACGCUCAUGCACGAAAGCGUGGGGAGCAAACAGGAUUAGAUACCCUGGUAGUCCACGCCCUAAACGAUGUCAACUAGUUGUUCGGUGAGGAGACUCAUUGAGUAACGCAGCUAACGCGUGAAGUUGACCGCCUGGGGAGUACGGCCGCAAGGUUAAACUUAAAGGAAUUGACGGCUGAGACGAGCGAGGACGACGACGAGGGGAGGUAGG